rnacentral:rRNA from 1 species
ACGAAAGGACAAGAGAAAUAAGGCCCACUUUAAAUAAGCGCCUUAGCGAUUAACAGAUGAUAUAAUCUUAAUCUACAAAUACACACAUACACUAAACAUCACCCAAAAACAGGGUUC